CCCUUCGGCGAGGGCCGCAUCACCAUGCGCAAGACGGCCGCCAAGCCCAAGGUGUCCGCGUCCGGCAGCCCGUGGUACGGCUCCGACCGCGUGCUCUACCUCGGCCCACUCUCCGGCGAGCCCCCGAGCUACCUCACCGGCGAGUUCCCGGGCGACUACGGCUGGGACACCGCCGGGCUCUCCGCCGACCCCGAGACCUUCGCCAAGAACCGCGAGCUCGAGGUCAUCCACUGCCGCUGGGCUAUGCUUGGUGCCCUCGGCUGCGUCUUCCCCGAGCUGCUCGCCCGCAACGGCGUCAAGUUCGGCGAGGCCGUCUGGUUCAAGGCCGGCUCCCAGAUCUUCAGCGAGGGAGGCCUUGACUACCUCGGCAACCCCAGCCUUGUCCACGCCCAGAGCAUCCUUGCCAUCUGGGCCUGCCAGGUUGUACUCAUGGGCGCCGUCGAGGGGUACCGUGUUGCCGGUGGCCCGCUCGGUGAGAUUGUUGACCCACUCUACCCAGGCGGCAGCUUCGACCCCCUUGGCUUGGCUGACGACCCAGAGGCAUUCGCUGAGCUCAAGGUGAAGGAGAUCAAGAACGGCCGCCUCGCCAUGUUCUCCAUGUUUGGGUUCUUCGUCCAGGCCAUUGUCACCGGCAAGGGUCCCCUCGAGAACCUGGCCGACCACCUGUCCGACCCAGUGAACAACAACGCCUGGGCCUUCGCCACCAACUUCGUCCCCGGCAAGUGAGCUUAGUUAGCAAGCUCCAGCGCCUGCUCUAUGCUGAGGCGCUUGGCCGACGACGUCAUUGUUGAUGAUGGAUGCUGCUGCAUGUGUCGAGAUUGAGUCAGGAGUCAGGACUGAUAGAUGUUGCAUGUGAAAGUCAGAGAUGAGGAGUUGGUGUUGUACACUAAAGAUGGUGUUUGUGUAAUAUCCCUCGGUUAUUUGUGAGAUGAAUCCGGGCAUCUUUGUUCUUCUGCUCACUUGUUCAUUUCUCUCUCCUCUUGAAUGCGUGCUGUUUGCAUUAGAAGGAGAACGCCGAGAAAGCGCACCUCACUCGUUGCAUUGGUUCUACUUCCUCUGAAUCUGAAUGUGUCUGAAAGUUGUCUGAAUUUUCUGAAAGUCCAAGCCGGUAAGUUGUCUGAAUUUUCUGAAGUCAAAUUUCUAUUUAAAUGUUGUACAAAUCUUGGGUUCCUCCUAGUAAAAACAAACUAUGGAACACUGCCAACUAGUGCAGCUUCCUUGUGAAGAUGCUGCUGUACUACCGUCCCUGAAGAACGGUCAUGGUUAUGCUGUUCCUGGUGUUCUCAAGAUCGUCUCUCUUUGCUUCCAUCAGCGCGAGAUAGGCAGGCUGGUUUGGUUUCGGCAGCGACAAUGUCGACGACGAGGACCCGCUUCCAUUCUCCAGGAUGGACACGACGGCCGACAUGAGCGGCCUCCUGCUCGGGUCGCCCUCGACGCAGAGGAGCCCGACGUGGAUGCAGAGCAAAGCCUCCUCCUGCGAGCAGCUUCCUGCGAUGGAUGGAUCCACCAGGCCGCCUGCCUUUCCUUCCCUCCACAGGUUCCAUGCCUGCAUGAAACAAUCAAAUCAACCAUUCUGUGUUUUUUCUCUUAAAAUUCUGGUGUCAGUGGCUGUUCUAAUUCAGAUGCUCACAUAGACUAUGAGGCUUGGAAACUCCAUGAUGUCAUCAGGAGAGCUUAUCCUGACACCGCUCACGAUCUCCAGGAGCAGCACGCCGAAGCUGUAGACAUCGGACUUGACAGAGAAAACGCCCUCCGUAGAGUAUUCAGGAGCAAUGUAACCACUGUCCAGUGUCCCCACAAAGUUUUCAGAAGACGUGCCAGAAUUUUGUCAAAUGCUAAAAGCUAACUACAGCUUAAAAAGCAAAAUCUAUUUUUUUGUUUGUAAAUCUAGCUUCAGUAUUCAGAGUACUAACAAUGUUCCGACGACUCGCUUGGUGUUGGCAUUCUGCUGGUUGUCGCAGAAGAUCUUGGCCAUGCCGAAAUCCGCUAUCUUGGGCCGCAUCUCAGCAUCCAGCAGCACGUUGCUUGCCUUGAGAUCUCGGUGUAUCACUGUCAACCUCGAGUCCUGGUGGAGGUAGAGGAGCCCCCUCGCGACGCCCUUGAUUAUCUCCAGCCGCGUCGGCCAAUCCAGCACCGAUUUCCUUUCACUAUCUGAAGCAAAAAGAUCACAUGAGACCGUCAGGAAUCGUAUCAUCAUUUUCUGUUCUUUCUUUCUUCAGUAACUUGCUUGAGUUCUGAACAUAUAUACAUACCGAAGAGGAUGGCGUCCAGGCCUUUGUUGGGCAAGUACUCGUAGAUGAGCAACUUCUCUGCUCCUUCCGUGCAGCAGCCGAGGAGACGGACCAAGUUUCUGUGUUGCAGUUUGGCGAUCAGGAUGGCUUCGUUCUUGAACUCUUCUGUUCCUUGGUCAGAAUCCUUGCUCAGUCUCUUGACAGCAACCUCUCGACCGCUCUCUAAUGUCCCCUUCCGAAUGAUACAUGAAACAGGCGAGAUCAUGAGUAUAAUUCAGUAUUUCAGUGCAUCGAUCAAUGCUUCCGAGUUGAAAUUUAUUUAUUUUGGUAAACUGGAAGAAGAGAAAAAUUCUCAGAUAACUGAAAAAGUGAAAAUCAACAGGCCAGAUGAAAAAUCAUACUACCUUGUAAACCUUGCCGAACCCUCCACGCCCGAUCAUGAAUGCUUUGGAGAAGUUUCCCGUGGCGGCCACGAUGUCGACGAACCGUACGGAUGGGAACUCAAGAUCUUCAGCGUGUUCUCCUUCUCCGAUCUCAGUCGACGUAUUCGCGCUCCCGGGCACCAGCUUCUUCUGGCUCUCGGUUUUUCUCCCCUUUUCUGUAAAUUUUGAUGUCCCAAGCAUUUCAUCUCCGAUGAGCAUGGCAUGUUUAGAGAUACUAAUAAAAAGAGAGGAAGAUAAUAUAAUUGUAUGUAGCACCUCUGAACCUACAGAACCACACAAACAAAAUGCAUGCGAGCAACAAGACGCCGGCUAACACCGGCAGUGCUAUUUUCAAGGCAUUUUUGCUUGCCAUUGUACCUGCACGUGCAAAAAGUCAAAACAAUGGCAAAGUUUGGUGACACAAUCGAUUUCGGCCAAAGGGGCAAACUUCUUCUUUGAAUUCUGUUGAAAUCCAAUAAAAUUCUGGAAAAAAGUCCGGUAGUACUACUAAGAGCUGAUUUCUAUUUCAAUCUGGGUGAAAUUCAGGUACUGCUGGUUUUUGAAGUUGUAACUACCUGCGGAACCAGCAGGAGGAAGGGGGACGCGAAGGUAUAGCGUGUCGGCUAGGGAGGCCCAGAGGGGCCCAAUCAUCUGCGUGUCGACGAGGUCCCCGGCCCACAAGAGGCACCGCCUGACGUCCCCCUUGGCGCUGCUGCUCUGCAGCUUGGCGUACGCGUACGCCAUGCAGGAGCAGUUCCCGGCGCACCUCGCCGCGCACUCCUCGGCGCUCCUGUUCCCGCCGUCCAGCACGAACUUGUCCGGCACCUUCACCCCCGCCAUGGCCAAGAACCCACUCCCAUGCCCGCACGGCGGCAGCGGCUCCUUCCGCCGGCACCCCUUGGAGAAGUCACCGCCGGUGGCCCACGCCGGCUCGAAGCCGUCCAGGCACCUGCAAGCCGCCGCGGCGACGUCGCAGUACCCGUAGGGCCCGCAGUAGCCGUACCGGCUGCACCCGCUGGACGGCCAUGACCCCACCGUGGCCCACGCCGAGGCGCUGCCGUUCCAGCCGAGGAGCUGGAACUGGCCGGAGCUGGUGAGGACGAACCGCGUGGGGGCCGCGCCGGGGGAGACGGUGAAGGUGUUGGAUAUCUCGUCCUCGGUGUCGACGAUGGCGGUGUACACCACGGUGCCGGUGCCGCUGACGUAGCUGGCCUGGACGGUGUAGCCGUUCCACACGGGGCUGCGCCAGUGAGGGCGCGUCCCGUCCCAGACGAGCAGCUGGAGGGCGGUGUCCGGGUCCAUGCCGUAGGAGAAGCGCCCCGGGGACGGGUCCUCGGGGGAGCUCCAUGACACGAGGCGCCCGCCCUCGUGGGUCCGGUGGUUCAGCCAGACCUUCAUGCCCGGGAGGAACGUGUCGGCCGGGUGGUCGAAGCUCUGCCACAGCGCGGUCCCGUUGGCGGACCGGAGGACCAGGUUGCCGGCGUUCGUGAGCACGGCCAGCGCCGCGGGCGGCGAGCCGCUCGCCAUGCCGGUCGUCCAGACCGCGCGCCCGUCGGCGUCGGACAGGACGAGGUUGGAGGAGUCGUUGUCCAGCGCGAGCCUCGGCGCAGAAGUGCCGUUGGUGAUGGGGGUUUCCCGGUUGGCGACCCACACGACGGUGUUGACGGGGAUGCUGUUGUACCAUAUGCCGAGGUACUGUCUGUCCGGAGUGGAGAUGGACGGGGAGAAGAAGCCCAGAGCGAAGGCGCCGCCGUCCGACACUAGGGGCUUCCCGGGCGCGAGCAGCUCGCCUGCGACCAGCUCGUCGCCGGCCCCCGCGCACGGGCGCGGCGAAAGGAAGAAGAAGCAGACGACGGCCAGGGCCGCGACGACGACGACGCGGCCGGCAGCACGCGCCAUGUCCGUCGAUCGAUCGCGAUCGAUCAACAGCGUUGAUUGAGACGGGAGAAAGAACUCAAGCUUGGCAUUGGCAUGCAGCUAGUAGUAUCAUUUUGCGCUGGAUUGUGAUGUCUGUUGAGUCAGGUCGCGCGCCUUGGCCUGCAAGAAGUCUCUCAACUCCAUUGGAUCCUUCCUGUUGGUUGGAGUUGGAGAUGGACGUUUAUUCAGCGCUUGGACUGGACAGUCUUUCUCUGUGACGCGAUCAAGGCCAACAACUGCACAGUUGAUUUUUUUUAGGGAUGCACAGUUGAUAUCUUAUGCUUUUGGAACGAUGGUGCGACCCGAUUAACGCGCUCAAGUCGCAGGUAAAACCUACGGGUACCUAGACUCAGAACAUAUGAAAGAAAAUCUGAAAUUGUUCCGAACGUUUUAUUCAGUCAUUUGUUACACAAUAUGGAUUUAUUUCUGAAUUUGUUCAUAGUUUGGACCGGACUAGGUGCGACCUUGCGGAGUACGUUGCUCCGCAUGAUUGGAUGGAAAUCUACAAACCAUGAUGCCAUGGUCAAUCUCAUGAGUUACAGUUUAGACUUCAGAGCUGUGCGUGCGUGCAUAUGAACGCGUGCGCGGCGUGCCCUUCACCUCAGUCAACGCGCGCUUUGUCUUCUCACACAGCUUGUUCCUCACACUCUAACUUUGCCCCGACCGUGUUGUUCUACCAUUCUGUUUUAAAAGCAAGCAAACAAAAUUUGCCUUUGUAACAACACGUCAGAGAAGAAGAACAACAACACCUAAUCGCUGACGUAGAAUCACUUCUGUCGAGUUGGGUUUUGUCAUGUCCUGAAUUAUUUUACAGGUAUUUUGAUAAAAGAUGUGGCAGAGUAGGUAAUACAGACACAUUCUCUGUCACACAAAGGUACACCUCGAUGAAUUUUGGUUGGCCGCAAGAUAUAGACUACUCCAGUAUCUGGUCUUGUAAGAUUUAUGCUUGACUUCUUAUCAAGCAAGGGAUUAAGGUAAGAUAUGUGUUGCUGAAGCAAAAAAAAAAAUUGUGGAGGAUGAUAAGUGCACAUUCGGCUGUUCCUUCCUGAGCUAGUAUCUGUAAAGUUAAUACCUACUAAAUGCAUUUAACGUUUGCAAGUUACAAAUGCAAAGUGUCCAUAUCAUCGUUCACAUUACCAUCCACCCCAUGUAUUCUAGCCCACAAGCAAUCCAUUUUGGUGACUCCUACGACUCAACCUUUUAUCUCCUAAGAAUCUUUACCCACGUUGUAUAUAAAUAUUUCACCAAGUAUAAUAUCUAUGAAGUUGAUCCUCACUAAAAUGCAUUUUGUUUGCAAGCUCCAUGUGCAAAGUGUUCACAUCACCAUACACGUCAUGUGUUGUAGCUCGCAAGCAAUUCAUUGUGGUGGCUCCCUACGAUUCAACAUUUUAUCUCGUAAGACUUUUCACCUUGAUGUUGUAUGUAAAUAUUUCACGAACUAUCCUUUUUUUUAUGUGUGCGUUGUUUUUUCUAAGAAAUGCGAAUACUUCCUGAAGCUUUUUUUCGAUUUUCCAAAAUUUACUGUUCAUGUACAUCAAAAUUGCUCCUAUUCUUUGGAUGAUGAAGUAGUUUGGCCAUACAGUAUUCAUAUUUGUUUUGUAUUUGAUCAUAUUAUUAUCAUUUAUUCUUACGUCAUGUCUAGAUGUGCAAACAUAAUUUUUCGUGGCAGCGCGGGGAAUCAACCAGUUGCAUGUGUGGAUCCUUGAUCUACAAGCAAAACAGAUUGCAGAAGAAAAUCCUUUUUUCCCCGAAAAAAAGAUUGCAGAAGAAAAUGAAUAAAUGCUUUGACGAAUGGCUUGUUGUAGCAUCCCCGUAAGUUCCAGACGAUUGAAUAAUGCAAAGUUUUCGGAAUUCUCGUAGAUUUUGGUUUGGCAGUUGACAUUUUAGCUGUCCACGUCGGAGUUUUUUUAAGAACAGUCCACGUCGGAGUUGGGAUGCCACGCCACCGUCAGUGCGACUAGUCAACUAUACUGACUGAAACAUUAGCUAUACUGGUCCGGCCCAGUUUUUGUUUUUGAACACGGGCCGGCCCAGCUGGUCCAGCUCUGGCGCGGCUGAAUCGGAGGGUCAAAACGACGAGGCCCAAGGCCGACAAGACCACGACCCAGCCGCCACGCAUAGUGUGUGUGUUAUGAAGCCCACGCCCACUUAGCAAAGUAAUUGGGCCCAUCGGCAGACGGUCUUCUUUCUUUCAAGAAACAGAACCAUGCCAAGGAAUUAGGCCGGCCUCUGCUGAGCAACACAAGGUUUCGAUUUUCCUGUGGCGUGAUGGUCGAGCGAACGACCGAACGUGGCUCCAGAGCUUCGGACGCGGACCUCAAGGCCUUUUGCGUAAAAGAUGGAGGCAGGUAGAGGUGCAACACCGUGACCUUUAAGGUAUCUUUUAAUUCUCUUUAGUUCAAAUAAAUGAACUAGUUUUUAAAAAAUUGUGUCAUUUUAAAAUUUUAAUCCAUUUAGUUGAACUAAGGAUGGUCAAAGGGUAUCCUGAUGGUCGCAUUUUGCAGCUCUAGAGGUAGGGAGUUUAUAUAAAAAAACAGCUCGACCUGUCAUCCCACGAGUUUGAUAAGUGAUUGUGUCAGAAUGCGAGGUCAUAGGGUAUAAAGAUUGUAUAUGGACGUAUAAUGCAACUUUGAGGACCCAUGAGAGCAGAUUGCAAUAAAGAGAACUAAAUCAGACCGCACCAUCAAAUUUAUGGGUCACGUAUGCAUUCCAUCGUUCUUCCAAUGAUAUGAUAGAAUGAGUGGAAUCAAGUAGUGACCGUGUGCCAUCUAUAAGUGUGCUUUGCGGCUUAUAGUCUGGUCCAUGCUUGCAUAGAGCCAAAAGUCGCUGACAUGAUCAAGUUCCAUGUAAUCUGAACUUUAAAAAUAUAUUUUUUCGAACGGCUGGUGGCCGAACUUUAUUAAAAAAUCAGAGGAGUACAAGGCGGGUGCUUUUCAGAACAAAAGCAGGCGCCCGUGCGUUUAGCAAAAUGGAACUAUUAAUCUGGUCCAAAAUCUGUUUUCACCUUUCAGUUUCUAAGAAACAUGGGUUAGCAAAAUCUUUUCCUAAAGAGAAGGACGAUAUCUAGGAAGAUUGCAGUGGAAACAUGGCUUAACAAUGGGCAAUCAAUGUGCCAACACCAACACAGGUUGCUGAGUGUUUGAACGGACAACGUACGUCCAGCUCCAGCCUCCAGGACGUGCACCCACUAAGAUGUCAGAAACGAAAAAUUCCACACUAAACUGGAAUACGGAGUACUUUAUUCUGCUAUACAGGAAUAUUAAACCUAACAAGGAAUGAUGAAUAGAGAAAUAGCAAGAUAAUAUAUAAUAUACAUUGUACAAUAAGCAAAAUUGUGACAAUUUGGGAAUAGAGAAAUCAAAACAUCGACGACUUUUCUCGGCAAGAAAAACAUCGACGACUGGAAGCUGCAUGAUGACUUCGUCAGGCUAUUUCAGACUUGGCUCGAGUUGACAUUAAUUUGUUCCUCUUCCCACUUCGUUGGUACUUCCUUCGAUCCAUAUUAAUUGUCAAAAUCUUACAUGUAUCCAGACGAUUUUUAAGCAUAGAUACAUCCAUAUUUGGACAAAUUUAAAACAAUUAAUAUGAAUCGGAGGUAGUAGGAUAAUAUUGGUAUUCCGAGCCACGCGGGAGCUGUGGCUGAUUAAGUAGCAUUAGAGGGUUCAAACCUUGAAAGAAAGACUGCUAUAAAAAAUCCUCACGGCUGAUGUCUUGCCGGCGAGGGGCUAGCACAUGUGUGUUACCAGCAAAAAAAAGUGGGCAUGUGUAAUGAUUAGUGGCUAUCCUUUGAUGAUCACGUGUAACUUGGUCAAAAUUCGUUAUCGAGUUUACACUCGCCUGGGUGGAUAAUUGGUUUGUGAGAGGAUCUUACGGGCUUACGGCAUAUCCCGGAAACAAUCGACCCAGCACAUGCUAUAUGUCCUCGGGAGUGUUUGAAAGGAGGGACCGUAAUAGUUGCCAAAUCUUCGACGCGGCAAAGAUGAAUUGUGAUGAAAUAUAUUUCAAGGUUGUUUAUUGUUAUUUGUUUCGUAUCAUAGGUUGAUAGUUUUUUCUUAUAAAUUUGGUCAAACUUUUAAAAGUUUGACUUAAGACAAAAAUCAUAUGCUUUAUAAUAUGGAAAGAAGGGAAUAGCAUGCAUGACAAUUUUGUCGAGUGCGUCUUUUUUUGGACCGAUACUGUUCUGCAUAUCUUUUCUGAUAAAUAUAUACAACUAUAUAAUUGUAUGAUUAUUAUUUCAUCGCCCUUGUAUCUCAGUAAGAGUAAAAUUGUUCACAGAGUUCUGAAUAUCAACUCCGAUUUGCUCCAUUUCAGCGCUCCGCCGCGCAAAGUAUGCAGGGCGAUUAGGCACCGGCAAUGUUGUGCUUCCGUUCUCCAAGACAAACACUACGGCUGACAUGGCCGGCCUAUCAUCUGGAUUUUCCUGGACACAUAAGAGAGCUACGUGGAUGCAAAGCAACACUUCAUCCGAUGAAGAAGUGUCCAUGAUAGAUGAGUCCAGCAAUUCCUUCGUCUUUCCUUCCUUCCACAUACUCCAAGACUGCAAAAAAAAACAUUGCAUAUUUUUUCGUUUUGGUUGUUAAACAUUUUUCAACAACUAUGUUUGUAUUUAUACAACUUUAGAGUUCUUUCCAUAUAUACUCACAUAGAUUAUGAGGUUAGGGUAGUCCAUGGUAGCGGAGCUUCUCCGUUUGCCGGUUACAACCUCCAAUAGUAACACACCGAAGCUAUAGAUGUCGGACUUGGUAGAGAAUAUGCCUUCCAUUGCAUACUCAGGAGUCAUGUAGCCAUUGUUUGAUCAUUUCAUUUGCAAGAGUUAUAUGUUGAACGAGAUUAAUUUGGAUUUAUUUACAAGUUACAAUGAAAAUUCUACUCACUAUGUUCCAACAACGCGUUGAGUAUUUGCAUUUUGCUGGUUGUCACCGAAGAUUCUCGCCAUACCAAAAUCCGCUAUCUUGGGUUUCAUAUCUGCAUCUAACAAAACAUUUCCAGCUUUUAGAUCUCUGUGAAUUAUGGUCAAUCUUGAAUCUUGGUGGAGGUAAAGAAGUCCCCUUGCAACCCCUUUGAUUAUAUUAAACCGCGUCGCCCAAUCCAACAACAAUUUUCUUGAAUCAUCUGUGGCCAGAAACAAAUGUAAGAAAAUGUGUUUUAGAUUCGUCUUAGGAAAUCAUGACGUGUGUUGCAAGAGUAUGUACCAAAAAUGGUAGCAUCUAAGCUCUUGUUAGGCAGAUACUCGUAAAUCAACAACUUUUCAUCUCCCUCCCCACAACAUCCAAGAAGCCGAACCAAGUUUCUGUGUUGCAAUUUGGCAAUUAGAAUUACUUCAUUCUUGAAUUCCUUUAUCCCUUGCUGUGAAUCCUUGCUUAGCCUCUUGACAGCAACUUCUUGGCCACCUAACAUUCCCUACGGAGUUGUGUGGAAAUUUAUAUCCGGAUUUGUCUUGUGAGCAACUCAAUUUUACCGAUUUAAGAACAGAGGAUAGGAAACUACUAUCGAACUACUUACCUUGUAUACUUUUCCAAAGCCUCCUUGUCCAAUUACACACGUUUCAGAGAAGUUGUGCGUUGCUAUGGCAAUUUCCUCAAAUCUUACAAAUGGGAAUUCAUGAUCGCGUGGAGGGUUUCCUUUCCCAAGUUCAUAAGAGAUACUCAUACUAUCCAAUGUCUAUCAUCUUCUGCUUUCUCUUUUUCCUGUUCUUCCCUGCUCCCACAAUUUCAUAAACAUUUCAAUUCAGGAAAUAUACCUUGCAAUUUAAUCCACAAGAGAUGGUCAAAUGGACUUUAUCAUCAGGAAAUAACCCUAUACGUACUAAGGUACCUUGCAAUUUUAGCCAUGCCAGGAAAAUGCACAUGAGGAUCACAAUAGUACCGCCCAAAACUGGCAGAGAAAUCUUAACCGUGGUGCUGUGUUUACCUGUGCAAAACGUACACACACAUAGCACAUCGCACGAAAUAAAUGGAAAUACAUCUGUGAAAACAAGAAAUUCAGAUCAAGAAUUGGUACCAUCCGUUGCGUCCAGGCCUGCAAUGCGGAGAUAGAGCGUGUAGCUGCCGAGCGCCUCGGCGCCGACCUUCCCGUCGUCAAUCAGCCCGCCGGCCCACACGAGGCACCUCGUCAAGUUUCGCCGCGGCGACUUCCCGGCGUCGCUGCUGCCCAGGUUGGCGUACGCGUACGCCACGCACGAGCAGUUGCGGCCGCACUCCGCCGCGCACUCCUCCAGCGUGCCGCCCCGGUCCCCGCCGACCACCGCGAACCCGUCGGGUGACUUCAUCCCCGGCAACGCCAAGAAGCCGCCGUCGUUGCCGCACCCAAGCAGCGGUUCCUUCCGCCGGCACCCCUCCGAGAACUUCCCCUGGCCCCACUCCCCUGCGCUCGCCGGCUCGAAGCCUUCGAGGCACGCGCACGUCGGGGACGAUGGCGCCGCCGCCGUCUCGUCGCAGUACCCGUACGGGCCGCAGUGGCCGUAGCGGCUGCAUUCCGUGGACGGCCAGUGCGCGAGGACGGCCCACGAUGACGAGGCGGCGCUCCAGCUCUGGAGCUGGUAAGUGCCGGAGUGCGUCACCACGUACCUGGUGCGCCCGGCGCCGUCGGAGAGCGUGUAGGUGAGGUAGAUCUCGUCGUCUCCGUCGACGAUUGCCAGGUAGACGACGAUGGCCGCGGCGCUGCUGGCGUUGUCCUUGGCCGCGCCCGCCGGUGGCGGCUGGUACCGGCGCUCGCUCUUCACCAGGUACCCGUUCCACGGCGCGCUGCGGGCGACCGGGCGCGCGCCAUCCCAGAGGAACACCUGGAGGGACGUGGCCGGGUCGCCGCCGUAGGAGAAGCGCCCCGGCGAAGGGUCGCCGGGCGCGUUCCAGGACACCAGGCGGUCGCCGGCGCGCGUCCUGUACCUCAUCCGGAUCUUCAUGCCCGGCAGGAACGUGUCCGUCGGGUGGUCGAAGCUCUGCCACAGCGUGGUGCCGUUUGCCGAGCGGAGGACCAGGUUGCCGCUGUUCAGGAGCACCGCCGUCGCCGCCGGAGCUGCGGCCACGUCGGUCUCAGGCGUCGUCGUCCAAAGGACGCGGCCGCCGUCGGAGAGGACGAGGCUGGAGGUGUCGGUGAGGGAGAGCGUGGGCGCGGAGGAGGAGUUAGUAGUGUUUGUGGCCGGGGUUUCUCGGUUGGCGACCCACACCACGGUGAGCUCGGGGAUGCCGUUGUACCAUAUGCCGACGUACAGCCUUGCCGGAGUAGUGGAGUUGGAGGGGCUGAAGAAACCCAGGGCGAAGGCGCCGUCGUCGGAGACGAUGGUAGCGCCAGGGGAGAGCGGCUUGCCGGGGACGAGGCGGUCGUCGGCCGCACGCAACGGCAGGAAGAUCACAAGGAUCAGGAUAGUGAUGGAGCACGCGAGAGCCCACCGGUCCAUUGGUCGAUCGGACAGGCCCAAAAAACUUCUGUUGUACUGUACGUACGAGCAUGUGGAAAGGAAUGUAAUCCGCUAGUCGUACACAGUGACUCGUACUACUAUUUCGUUGUUGAUGCUGACAUGCUGUUGUUUACAAGCCUUGAUCGGACCCGUUCCAGCAUUCGAUCGCGUGGAUUACGAAAGCAGAUGGCUGAAAAAUGCAUAGUUCUUGAAUCCUGCGGUAGGAGCUCAGAGUGUUUUGGAUUUGACAUCUCAGCUGUCCACGUCGGAGCAGAGCGCGAUACGGCGAUAGUCAUCGUGCUCGUGUGAACCCAGCUGGUCAAACCGCGGCACGGUUGAAUCCAAACAAACUUUACCCUAUUUUUCUAGGGAAACAAACCUUUUAGCUUUGUAAUUGAGGCCCACGGGCCACGGGAAUUAAUGGCCCAGCGAGAGCUCUACCCAGUCACCCACCCACGUCCGGCCUAGUCGCGGGGUGCGGCCUCGCUGGUCGGUCGUCGCUUCGUGUAAUAUACUCCGAUUAGGCAAAUUAGGCAAAUCCGAACUGAUCUCCAAUAAGAAAGCCAAUCCGAACGCAUCACGUAAUUCCGGCAGCAGCUAUAUUUAGUGACUCCUGUAUGCAGCUCGAUCGAUGCCUUGGAUCUCUUGAUGCUCCCCAGACCGAUUGAAUCGCCUGCCUCGAUCGAAGAUACAACACUUGGUUAAGUUUGAUACUACUACCAAAUUAACGAAUUUGAUUUAGAUCGGAGAGAGAAGAUGGGAUCGUCGUCAAGAACAGGGAAUAACCGAGUGGAGGAUCGUCCGGAGGAGGAGGAGGACGAGUUGUUCGUGGCCCGUGUCGGCUUGUCCGUGACCUUUGUCGUCAUCUUCAUCCUCUUUCUUCUCGUCGACACGGGCGUGAUCAAUCCCGGCGCCCCCAAGUUUCUCAAGAUCUUCUAUGGGGUGACGGGGCUCAUCUGCCUGCUCGGUGCUGCCAUCCUCGUAGUCGACUGCCUGCGUGAACGGGAACACUGGCCGGCGCCCUUUCGCCGUACGCGCAUUGCCGGGCCCGCCGAUCUGCCGGCCUGCGACGCGUGUUAGUCUGCUAGCUAUAUUGCCUGCCCUUUUUUUCACCAAGAAGCUGGAGUACCUUUUUUUUUAGGUGUUCACCAAGUAGCUACCUUGCCUGCCUUGGUUCGGCUCAUCGAUCUUACCGUUAUAAUAGGGUUUUUUUUCGUGCUUUGCCACAGCCUUUAAAAUACACCGGUUACCAAAUAAUGUAAUGUUUGUGUGUUGCAACGGACAAACAAAUUUGAUCUAUGUACUUGUUUCCUGAUGUUUUUUAUUUUAUUUGAUCUAUGUACUUGUUUAUUGGUUAAGAUACAUGCGAAGUACGAUAUGAUGUACUCGUCUCAUAAUGAUCUAUGUAUUGUUUAUUCAUGAUUUUGAUUUUUUUUAUCUACGUACUUGUUUCUUGGUUAAGGUACAUAUGAUGUACGAUAUGAUGUACUCGUCUCAUAAGAGGUAUGGUACCAAAUUAUCACAGAUGUUCAUGCUAUGAUUUUUUUUAAUAGCUGUGAUGUACCAUACGAUGUACUCGUCUCCUAAGUGCAUAUACUCGAGGUACUCAAAAUCUGAUAAAAUACAUGCCAUGCACCAUAAUGUAUUUAUCCAUGUACCAUAAUGUACUUAUAAGGUAUAGUUCAUAUACUUACAAAAGGAAAAAAGUCCGAGUGCCUAACAAAAAAAAAAGAGAGAAGAGCAAAAGUUGUUAGGUUUUUUAAUUUAAAGCAAAAGACAUUAACCAAGAGGAAGAUGGAGAAGGCCAAACAUGUAGCCAGCACCGUGGGCGCAAAUGCCACCAGUGGCACCAUUUCUGAAGGGGCGCGUAGAGAUAAACAAAAACUUUUUCUACACGAACUCCCAAGAUCUAGCCGAGGUAGAAGGCCACGAGGAUUACCACUAGACGCGCAGUUGCGGAUUAUCGAUGCAGCGCCUUGAUGCAGUGCAGUCCCUCGAUCCGAUCCAGCCGAUCCAAUCCCGCGAUCGUCGAAGUGCUGAACGUACAGCACCUCUGCCGGUAUCCACACAUGCGAGGAGGAGCUCCGGCGGCGGACUGCUAGGUCCGGUGCGAUGGUUGGACUGAAUGGGGCUAGGGUUCUCAACGCAUGAGAGUGGCGAACCGUGCCCCUUAGGCAUCCCACGCCCCUGCUUAUAUACCGAGUGGAAGUGGGCUUCAGCACUUGUGGCCCAUCCACUCUGCGAGUCGAACUCGCAUUGUCAGUCCAUUUCCGGUUUGGGUCCAACCCGACCAAAUACUUGCUUCCGCUCUUAAGUGUGUGACCCCGCAGGCUCAUGGCGACUUGGACACGAUUGGAGUCCGACUCUCAAUCGAUCAACCUGUAGCGGCUCCUAGCAGAACGUGCCGACUCCCAAGUACCAUCGAGUCAUGACGACGUACCUUCCAAUGUGACAUACGUCUUAGUCCCUUUUGCCUCACGAUAUACCUUGUCGAACUAUAGGCGAUUAAUCGUCAUCCCUUUAAUAGUUCAACUCUCUUCUCGAUCUGUGAUAUGCGAUUCAUCCGACUAACUCUUAGUCGAUCGACCCAGUUAACAGUUAACCGAGUCGCGCAUGGCCAUGCUUCCCGAAUCAUAUCACUCGAGAGGGCCCAGAGAAUAUCUCUCCAGUCGGAGGGGCAAAAUCCCAUCUUGGUUAUCCACAUCACAUAGCUUGAUUCUCAGUCAACUCGAACUCUGCCUUUAUAACUGCCCUGUUACGGAACAACGUUUAACAGAACCUAAGUUGGUGAUCCACAACUCGGAUUGUGCGAUAACCUCAGGUCUAAGGAUUACAUUGAUUGAGACAUGCAAAUGACGACCUACUCGUUGCAUCUCAAUAUGGGUCAGUCCGACUCGCUAAACUCUUUAGCCGAGUCCGUGUAAGCUGGAAUGACAUCACCAUGCCCAUGACAAGUGGAACCGAGUCAUCAGCCAACUUUCACAUUAGUUUAGGUUAUGUGUUCAGCACAACCUAAAUGACUAAGGACAAUUUAGUAUGAACAACAUGAAUACAUAGUUCCACAAUCAAAUCACAUAUUCAAUGAUACAUAUCAGAUGUUCAAACAAGGACAACUUAAUAAUCUUUAUGAAUACAUUGGGAAUUACAUCAUACAUGAUUGCCUCUAGGGCAUAUUCCCAACAAUUUCCGCUUUACUUUGAUCGUCAGCGCUCUGGGCUGACGUCACGGCCUUGACGUGCGCGGUGUUUCAUGCACGUCGAUGCGUGUUAGGGUGGUCGCUGCACUGGUUCUUCGGAGGGUUCCAAAGUCCAUGAGUUGGCGUAUGGGAGGCGGUAACCAUCUUUCUGGUGGCUUCUCAUGGCGCCUAUAUAUGUAGAGCUGUUGUCGGCAUUGCUCUGGGCACUUGCGUAUUGCGCUAUGGGUUCUGAACUUCUGAUGGGUUGCUUGGCGCUGCAGAUGUGGAUCCGGCACGAUCGGCAGCAUUGGAGCGUCGGUGUCCUCCCUCUGCCCUAACCACGACGUCCUCCCUCUGCCCUAACCACGGCGCCCCCCCCCCCCUCUUCCCCAACCACGGUGUCCCCCGGUGGCCCCGUUGCUAGAGGUGAAGCUCCGCAGCUAAGGAGGUGCAGUCCGGCGACAUCCAGGCUGAGACUACAGGGAGGUGUGGGGCCAGUGAGGCCAGAACGAUCCACCGGCCGCCAUGUGCCUCCUCACGCCUUUUUUUUUUGAAAAAGAGGGACCCCCUCCUGUUUCCAUUAAAGAAACGAUAGUCUUCUACACAAAUAGACAAAAGUAAGAAAAAGAAGAAAAACAUUCAGCGCGAAGUUCAGAUCACCAGCAGGUCUAGAAAUGAUACUAGCAACAGCAGAGAAAGAGAAAACAUACUACAAUUCAUAGAGCUCCUAGUCAGUAGAUUCAGAUAAAUGUUCUUGCUGCAGCAAUAGUUCCUUCACUUCAUGUAACCUGAACUUCUCCUCCUCCACUACCUCCCUAGCGAAGGCAGAGACCAGACAAAGCAGAAAAGCAGAGACGGCGAAACUUCAGCCCGCCAUGAUGCGACGACAAAGAGGAUGCCAUCCUUUCGCUGUUUCAAAAAUUUCCUUGGCGACAACUUCAACCAGUCUUACCCCCCACCGCAGAAGAUUUCUGCUUGCUUCCUUUCUCUGCAGAACAGACCAAAGAUUGAGCCAAUAACAGAAUCUCUUAAUGAUACCAAAAGGAGAAUAUCUUAAUGAUAUUUGGUCAAAAAAAUAAUAUCUUAAUGAUACCAAAAGGAGAAGUCAAACCAGCAGAUCUACAACAGGCAUCAUUUCUAGUGUUCCAGAGUACCCACAGUAAUCCUGCAACCCCUACCAUAACCAAUUUCCUAACAUUGCCAGAAAAAGCCUGCAUCCAUCCAGUCCAAAUUUGAUCAACAGUAUCCGGCUAAGAAUUUAAAUUGAAAGAACAAUUUAGAAUAUUUCAUAAGAAUCAAGCUAAAGUACACUGGAGGAAAAGAUGAUCAAUUGAUUCAUCCAUCCCACAGAACUGACAUUUGGAAUCCCUUUUCCACCCUCUAUGCUGCAAAACAUCUUUAGUCAAAUCAAAUAUCUCAGCCUCCUCACGUCUGGCGCUGCUCAUUUUUUAGAUUCUGUUCCAUCUUGAUUGAUUCCUUAGUUCACAAAUCAAAGAUCUCAGCCUCUCUUGAUUGCAAUUGGUACGGCGACGGAGAUUUUUCCUCUUUUUUUAGAGCUCUUUUACGGUACCCCACAUUUAAUAUGAUCCAUCCAUUAGUCACGAUCUAAUGGCUAAUAUUGUCCGGUACUCCACUACAAGUUGUCUGGAGUACUACCUCAAGAAUAGACGGAGUACCACGAUAUGAGGGGCAAAAUCGUAAUCAUAAGAAGUUUUUUUUCUCUCGCGGAGUUAUUUUGAUAAUCCAACACUAAAUAUUGUGCCAAAACUCAGGCGUGAAUGUUUUGAUUUACGCCAUCUAAAAAAGUCAUGAACCGGAGAUGAACCCUAAUCCUGAGGAGGUGUGGCGCCAGGCUUUGAUCCAUCACCGGCCGGCGCAAGUAUGCAAGGGACGAGGACGCUCCCCCCGCCGGCGCAAGUAUGCUCGUCGAGCCGCCGCCUUCUCCGUUUCUGAAGACACGAGCAUCGCCGUCAGGGCGCGGACCAGAGCUAGGUUUGGUCAAAAGGUAAACUGGGCCAAACAGUAGAGAUCAGGACGGCGGCGGAGAGCGGGAGACACGACAGAGUGCGGCCUGCACACAGUGCCGAAGGCCAAGGGUCAGCACUGACGCUUGCUCCCACGGCCAACGGCUUGGGCACGCAGGAGACUUGACGAUCCACGAGACCUUGGGCUUGGUUGAUUGAAAGGAGUACGUGAAAGUCCAAGAUGACCUGCGGGUUGCGGAAAUGCCCAGACUGCCCUUGCAGAUGAACGGACAGAUUUGUAUGGUACUCCAUCUUGUGUUUUGGGAGUACCAAUACUGUAAAAACUCUUUUUUUUUAAUUCUUUUCUUACUGCCCUAAACCCAUGGCAAUGUUUCUACUUUCCAGUGUCUUAGUUUGUUGUGGCAGGUAAUACAAUCGUUCCACGUAUAGGCUCCUCAGUUAGCGGCUUAAGCCUCGGUAGACUCCGGCCGCCACAUGCCUACGCUGACGGCUGCAGCUUCUUGCGUUUUGGCGAUGCUAUAAUCCCUUCUGGUGCGGUAAACUCUUUUCUAGCGGUGCCGGUUUCUACCGGCGUGGGAUGGACCAAUCGUUCACUGCCAGCAUGCACCACGUAUCCGGACGCUAUGUAUAUCCUUCAGUAUUCAUUUGUUCCCUCAUUUAUUCAACGUGGUAAUCUCAGUCUGGGUCCCACCAUGUGCUAAAAGAAAAGGGAGCACCAAAGAAGAGCGACGCGGGGCUCUGGACCUCUGUUCGAGGCGUGACGAGCGGGGCCCAAGCAAGGUGCGGGGCCAGGCGGGCAGCGAGCCAGCGACGGGCGCUGGCGCUAGUGUGUGUGAGCAAAUUUGAGGAGGUCUGUACAAAUUUGAUGAAACUUUUCUAAUCCUGUACUAACACAUUUUGAGGUUUGUACAAAUUAUGUAAGGGUUCAAACCAACUCAGAUUUUGAUGAAACUUUGGGGGUUGGCUUAAGAUGGGAACAUCCACCUUCAGUAAACGUUUCAAAAAUUUUGUAGCAAAUUUGAAACUCUGAGAUUUAAAUAUGGUUUAAGUUAAAAGGGCUAGUAAACUAAUUUUGAUUGACGCGAAAUUUUGCAUGUGCUCAUCUUGCAUAUAUGUGAGUUUGUACAAAAAGUUACAUGUCAAAAAGACGAAGUAGAAAAGUGGGUUAUUUCACAUAGGUUUGAAAAGGGGUUUAGUCCGCGCGAGUUCUAAAUUGAUGCAACAAUAAUUAAUACAUGAGAUGAUUACAUGAUGCAUGCUUAAUCUUAAAAUGAUCCUAUAUUAAUCAUCACACUGUAGUUCUCCACCAGCUCGGUCACCUACCGAUGGCGCGCAUGCCGCGCUAGCCACGCACCGCCUUGUGUUGCCCAACAUACCAUUUGUAUAUCAAUUUUUGGGUCAUUACACUAUAGUUCUCAAAUUUGUCGAAAUAUACCAUUUGUAUAUCAUAUACCACAUACCAAUGAAAUAUAUCAUUCAAAUACCACAUACCAAAUAAAUAUACCAUGUACCAAUAAAAUAUACUAGUGAGAUACCGUUGCAAUAUCAUAUACCAUACGAAUGUAGUGUACCAUUUGUAUAUCAUAUAACACCGUAAUAUCAUAUACCACAUUACCAAUGAAAUAUACCAUUCAUAUACCACAAAGCAGAGAAAUAUACUAUUCAUACACCAUGUACCAAUAAAAUAUACCAAUGAGAUACCGUUGUAAUAUCAUAUACCAUACGAAUGUAGCAUACCAUUUGUAUAUCAUAUAACACCGUAAUAUCAAAUACCACAUACCAAUGAAAUAUACCAUUCAUAUACCACAUAACAAAUAAAUAUACCAUUCAUAUACCAUGUAAAAAUAAGAUAUACCAGUGAGAUACCGUUGUAAUAUCAUAUACCAUACGAAUGUAGUAUAUCAUUUGUAUAUCAUAUAACACCGUAAUAUCAUAUACCACAUGCUAAUGAAAUAUACCAUUCAUAUACCAUAUAACAAAUAAAUAUACCAUUCAUAUACCAAGUACCAAUGAAAUAUACUAGCGAGAUACCACCUAAUUUCAUAUACCACAUACCAAUAAAAAUAAUAAUAAUCUAAAAUAUUGCAUCAUGUCAUCAUUACUUAUAUUGGUUGUGCAUCGAUUUAAAACUUUGCGGUCAUCAUUCUUAAACACCUUUUCAAACCUUUGUGAAAUAAAACAUCUUCAACCUUGUCCCGUCGACCUAAAACUUUUUGUACAAGCUCACAUAAAUAUAGUUCGAGCCUCUACAAAAUUUCAAGUUAAGCGGAAUUACUUUAAUACCCUUUUUGAAUUAAACGAUUUUCGAAGUCACAUAAAUCCCUGAAUUUCAAACUUGCUCCAAAAUAAUUGAGAAUUUUACUGGAGGUGGAUAACACCAUCCUAAACCAACCCUCAAAAUUUCAUUGGAUUCGGACUUCAUUUGAACUUUCAAAUUAUUUGCAGAAACCACCAAACGUCUAAGUUCAAAGUUGGAAACGAAAUCAAUCAGGUGACCCCACAUGUCAUACUCUCACGUGUAACUUAUUCUCUUUCUCAGUUCUCUUCUUCUCUUCACAGCACGGUAGAAGAUAUCCAGUGCUCCCACCCCUUAGGAUGCGAGCGUGCUCAGUUUUCGAAUUUUUUGAUAUAAAUUGAGUAGCUUUGUAAGAUAUGUGUCUAUCAUGUCACAAAGUUUCAAAUCCAAAUUCAUCAUAUGCAUAGAAAAACAAAAAGGACAAAUCCAGAUGCGAGUAGGUCGCAAAAAGAUAAAAACACAAAAAGACAAAAUUUCUAACACUAUUCAUGUUUGCAUUUGUCUUUUUUUUUUCUCUCUGUGUAUAAUGAAUUUGGAGUUGAAACUUUGUGACAUGGUAGACACAUAUCAUAUGAACCCAUUCAAUUUAUUUUGAAAAUUUUGAAAACUUUUUAGAGGUGCUGCCGUGCAUUGGGAGCACGGUAACACCCUAAGGGGUGGGAGCACUGGAUAUCUUCUUCACAGCACGGCACGCACAGGAACUCAAACCGCAUCGCCACUUCCUGACAUCGCUCGCCAUAGCCCUGCACUGUGUGCCAAGGCCUGCCCAUCUACUCGCAUCACGCACUCUAGCGGACGUGUCAGCCGCGGAUCCCGCCGGAUCUAGAGAACAACGCGGCGGCGGCGCACUCCAGCUGCUCGUGAUCUUGGGAAGAACGGCACAACGGCGCACUCCGGGAAAGAAAUUGGGGCAGCCAUGGAUCCGAGGAAGAAUUGCGUGGCAGCUCGGUCCAGUGGCUCGCGACCAUUGGGAAGAACGGCACGACAGCGCACUGCGGGAAAGAAAUUGGGGCGGAAAUGGAUCCGGGGAAGAACAGCAUGUCGGCGCGUCGAUGAAGCUCCCUGCGGCAGUGGCACAGGUGGCGACGAUGCUAGACACCUCCGGCGAUAGGAGGGAGGGAACAACGCGAUGGCAGAGGGAGACUGGGAGAGAGAUGACAGUACGAUGGAAACCAGCCAAAAUAUCUGCUCCGUGAAGGACAGUGACAAACUCAAGUGGGCUGGGUAGCAACAAGUACAAUACAUCUUGCGACCGAACCGAUGUAUAAAUUUCCAUAAUUGAAAUACCGACUCGGGCGUGCGUUGAUCUCAUAGCGCGAAUGGACGGUUCGUAGGAUACCGGCACCGCUACAAUCGCCGCUUUGCUUCUGGUGCAGCUAUUUAUGUUUAUGAUUCAACUUGUAUUCUAUCAACUAUGCCUUCUCGCGAGUUUGGCCAUGCAAUGACAAUGUUGUUAUUAUAUACUGUCUUGGUGAUUUAUCCUAUUUGCCUUUUUCUCCAGAUAGAUUCGCAGAUUAUUGAGAAUGCGACAAAGUUAUAAAAAAAUGGCUGAAGUUGGAAUCUCAGUUGAAGAGCAUGAAGGACAACUCCAAGAUUUUCCAUCAUCCAUCCCAUUUUUGCCUCCCCUGGCUAGUAUUAAGCAAGGACGUUACUUGGUAAUACUUUGCAUGCAACGGUAUGGUGUGUCGAAUUUGAAACUCAUAAGCAGUUGGUUACUAUAUUUCUAGUUUUCUAUAAAAGAAUGCAGCUAAUCUGAAGGUCUACUAUGCUACUCUUCUCAUUGCUGCGUAAUGGUCUUGUGGAUUUCUUGCACCAAUUAUCCUUUUUUUAAAAGGUCCAGCAAACGUUGGCUUUCCAAUGCAUUAGCAGGCAGAGAUAAUUACAGGGUUUGCCCUAGGCCAAAGAGAAAAAAGGAGCGGAAACAAAAGAAAGAAACGAAGGUGGCCAGGGGAGACUGAGGAGGAUUUCAGGGGGGUUCCAGAGAAGUUUCCUGAGAGCCUUUGCGCCGACGAAAGCCCGGUCUUGCGCUUGAAAGUAGCGAUCUGACACAUGCCGGUGGCCUUGUCAUGGAAAACUCUUGAAUUGCGCUCGCGCCAAAUCGAGUGGCACACCAGGAUGAACAAGGACCCAAGCCCUUUGCUUAGGUUUGCACUGUAUGAUUUCAUGAGGCGGUCGUGGAAGUCCUGGAUCGACGUGGCCCCAUGGAUGGCCGUAGCAAGGGCACGACAGUUAGGCCAGAGUGCAAUCUCGCACCAGAGCAUGCUGGAGAACGAGCACUCGACGAAGA
rnacentral:lncRNA from 1 species